AGAGUUUGAUCCUGGCUCAGAUUGAACGCUGGCGGCAGGCCUAACACAUGCAAGUCGAGCGGAAACGAAGAGGUGCUUGCACCUCUGGCGUCGAGCGGCGGACGGGUGAGUAAUGCCUAGGGAUCUGCCCAGUCGAGGGGGAUAACCAUUGGAAACGAUGGCUAAUACCGCAUACGCCCUACGGGGGAAAGAAGGGGACCUUCGGGCCUUUCGCGAUUGGAUGAACCUAGGUGGGAUUAGCUAGUUGGUAAGGUAAUGGCUUACCAAGGCGACGAUCCCUAGCUGGUUUGAGAGGAUGAUCAGCCACACUGGAACUGAGACACGGUCCAGACUCCUACGGGAGGCAGCAGUGGGGAAUAUUGCACAAUGGGCGCAAGCCUGAUGCAGCCAUGCCGCGUGUGUGAAGAAGGCCUUCGGGUUGUAAAGCACUUUCAGUUGUGAGGAAAGGUUGGUAGUUAAUACCUGCCAGCUGUGACGUUAACAACAGAAGAAGCACCGGCUAACUCCGUGCCAGCAGCCGCGGUAAUACGGAGGGUGCGAGCGUUAAUCGGAAUUACUGGGCGUAAAGCGCACGCAGGCGGCUUGUUAAGCUAGAGGUGAAAGCCCCGCGCUCAACGUGGGAACUGCCUUUAGAACUGGCAGGCUAGAGUCUUGGAGAGGGGAGUGGAAUUCCAGGUGUAGCGGUGAAAUGCGUAGAUAUCUGGAGGAACAUCAGUGGCGAAGGCGGCUCCCUGGCCAAAGACUGACGCUCAUGUGCGAAAGUGUGGGUAGCGAACAGGAUUAGAUACCCUGGUAGUCCACACCGUAAACGCUGUCUACUAGCUGUUUGUGUAUUUAAUACGUGAGUAGCGAAGCUAACGCGCUAAGUAGACCGCCUGGGGAGUACGGCCGCAAGGUUAAACUCAAAGGAAUUGACGG
rnacentral:rRNA from 1 species